CUUAUGAAUGCAAGGAGAGCAGUUUUGCACUCCCCUGGACAUAAUCUGAAAUGGAAAUUUUGCCAAACCUAUACUGUGGACCUAACUGUUAUUUUU